AAUCUAGCGGUUAUGAUUCCUGGCUCUCACCCAGGCGGCCCGGGUUCGACUCCCGG
rnacentral:tRNA from 1 species